rnacentral:rRNA from 1 species
UACGGAGGGUGCAAGCGUUAUCCGGAUUCACUGGGUUUAAAGGGUGCGUAGGCGGAUAUGUAAGUCCGUGGUGAAAUCUCUGGGCUUAACCCGGAAACCUGCCAUGGAUAGCUAUGUGUCUUGAAUGUUGUUGAGGUGAGCGGAAUAUGUCAGUGUAGCGGUGAAAUGCUUAGAUAUGACAUAGAACACCAAUUGCGAAGGCAGCUCACUAAGCAAAUAUUGACGCUGAGGCACGAAAGCGUGGGGAUCAAAACAGGA